GAAUUAUUUAUUUCCAAGAGAACAUAAAUCACCUGGUGCCACUGAGAGACAGACAGAGGAAAAUAUACUUCCAGUUUUGUCCAGAAGGAAGCAGCUGGGACAGCAUUGCAAGAAGUCUUCCUUCCAAAGUGUGCAAAGCUUUCAAUGAGUUGAGAAAUGAGAAUAACAGAACUACUGAAAUCCCAGCAUCAGAAAUCCAAUGUUUUAAUCUCACAUGAAACAAAUGCUGUGCCUCUAACCCUUGAAGAGGUAGCUCUGAAGCAUCCAGUGCUGGAAGCAAAAUAAAGAGUUACAAAUUACACUGCUAAAGAAGAAAUCUUCCAAACUGGAAAAGAAUGUUGAAGCUAGAAAAUGUCUUUUUAAAAUUUCUCUAAAAGCUACAUCAGGUGACAAGCUGGGGGGAAAAAUGCUGUUUACAACAGACAUGCAAGAUUUCAAAAGGGAUUAGUAGAGACACAUUUUGUUGAAGUCACCUAAAAUCAAGAACAAAGGUUGUAAGAUUUUAAAAUGGUAUAUUUCUGCACUUAACUGCUAAUAAAAGUGGCUACUAAUUGUUAGGCCCAAGAGUUAUAUGGGAGGGACCAUUAACAUGUUGUUCUGUUUUUGAAGUAUCUGGCUGCAUUAACAUAGGGCAUUGUAGUGCAGAUUACAUUGAAAUGCUGACUACUCUGUGGUAAUAUUGCUAGGAGGAAAACAUUCAAUCCUACAGUAAAGGAUUAAUAUUAGCUAAUUUAGAAAAGGGAAGUAUGUUUUUGAUAUUUUAUAUGUUCUUCCUCACAAUGAAAGAUAUUUAUUUCCCAUGAAUAUUUGGCAUUUCUGGCUUCCACAAGUUUUUAACUUAAAACAGUUACAAAGAGUACAAGAGCUUUGACAUUAAAGCCAGCUUCUUCCUGAUAAACCUCUUGUACCUCAGGAGAACUGGAGUAGGAAACAUCACAGAUUUAAGCUUCAGUUUUACAGGAAACUCAGAUUGCUGAGGAUGAGGUUAGUUUUCUUUGCAGCAGCCAGCCUUGUCUAAGAGAAACCGGUACUUGUGGACUGCUAAAAAACCAUUCAUUUAGAUCAACAUGACAAAAUCAGUCCAAGUCAGUACCAAGUCCUCUACCAUUACCACACUAGAUUUUCAGAUGUACAUUUUCAUAACUGCUAGUUUUUGUCC